rnacentral:lncRNA from 1 species
CAGCAGGAAGGUGGAAACCCAUCCAGUCAUUCCAGCUAUGGUAAUGAAGGAAAGGAAGACAUUAAAAUAUUGGGACACAGACUUAGGAGUGCAGGAUGGAUGGAUGGAGACAAAGGGGAAUGAUCAAAUUCCCUCAUGGAGUAAUUGAGCAACGUCACAAGGAAACGUUGCAGAAGAACGUAGAAUUAGUGAAAACAAAAUGCAGAGGCAAAAGUAUGCCUGCUUCCAUUUUAUGGAAUCCAAUCCAGGAAGGAGGGCAGUUUGUCACUUAGACUGAAGUUGUGUCACGCUUGUCGUUGGAAAUUGAGGACCAAAACACAGCAGCCUCCCCCCUUGUGAAUCUCCACUGGAAACAGAGCUUCCCUGUAACCCUACAACUUCAGUGUCUGCAGAUCUGAAUCAACUGGAUGGGUUGACAGCAAUAUGGCAGAGACUCUCUUCAACCUACUGGAAGCUUGGCUGGGUGGAGCCUUCUCCAUUUGGUUAGUGUACGCCUAUCCGCUCCACUGCAGACCUACAUAUGUGACUGGGUUAGCCCAUUGAGCUAGAGACUAGACAUUAGCUCUGGAAACUAACAAGGCUUCAGGUCUCAGGGAUGUUGACUCAUCACUAGAGUGUAGUUUCAUUGAACCACCUCCAUCACAUAGACACCAAAGUGUUAACAGACAGCUGGUUAAAAUAUAGUUUCCCCCACACCAGGUAUAAGAAGUGUGAAUGUUAUUUCCCAGCAUACACUGUGGUUGUUUCGACCUCUGUUUACACCCCUCGUUGAGCAUCCUAUGGCAUCUGUCGGCUGAAGUGAUGACUGAGUUUUGAAAAGUAUAUAAAUCCACAGGGACACAAAGGCUGCAGAUUGAUCAUUGGAAUGGAUUAGUGAGUGGGAGUGGGGUUCGCUCCGAGGGGAUUUGAGGUGAUAUUGAGUUGCAUUGAUGGUGUAGCAAAGCAAUUUUUGACAGGAGGAAUAGCUGUGACAGUGAAAGAGUGGUGAUAUUUAAUUUUCAUGAGUGCGAUCAGUGCAGCAGAGCAAUUAGCGACUGUCGGGUUUCAGUGUAUAGAGCCAUCGACUCGCUAAGUGAAAAGAGAGUAUCAACAGCAGCACUUGGUACCCAUGUGAGCAUGCUGUAAAAUGUAAAGAGAACCUUGUUGACAUCUUAAUUUCAUUAGUAGACUGGUUCUAUGUUGACAUCUUAGGUUCAUUAGUAGACUGGUUCUAUGUUGACAUCUUAGGUUCAUUAGUAGACUGGUUCUAUGUUGACAUCUUAGAAUGAGAGAUGACUGAACUUACUCUGUUGGAAGAGUCGACACUGUAUUUUGUAAAGAGUGUGUUUUUAGUGACAGUGUUUUUAGAGACAGGCGAGACAUGCCAUUCUGGUGCACAUCCAAGUGUUACCCACCCUCUGGUUUUUGGCAACUGGCACUUUUCAGUUGGAGCAUGCCUAUUGGUAUCUGACAGCCCUCAAUGAGCCAAUGUUAAAUCAGCAUCUCACAGCCCUCAAUGAGACAAUGUUAAAUCAGGGGUUUCUUCACUAUGAUGCCAUCAAUGGGUUUCCAAAUACGGACCAAAUAGACAGCACCCACGACGCCAUAAAUACGAACGGACCAGUAGAAGGUACCCACGACGCCAUAAAAGCACCAUCCCAAAACGAGUUCAACUGUGUGAACAGAAAAGGCUUCCACUCUUUAUGUGCAGGUUGUGUGAUGAUCAAAAGACGCUGCUGAAUGUGGUGGCCAGGUGGAACGUAGGACUUAUUCAUUCUGCAGAACAGCAGUGUUGGCCUAUACACCUCCAGGAGGGAGCUGAUGAGGAUGGAUGGCUUAUUACUGAGUGUUUCCUACUCAGUUGAAGUAUAUUUACCGUUGCUAAAGCAACUUCAAUUGUCCUAAUGGUCCUCUCUCUGUAGCUAUGUUUUAAUUUGGCUCACAACUGAAUGAGCCAAAAUCAAACCUUUUGGUUGUACUGAACCUCUGACACCAGCACCUCUAUUUCAGUCUCGGAAAAUGUUCUUUUUCUUAGCCCACAGGCUUUAAAGGGACCAUACUAUGGUUAACUAGGGGCGUUUCAUAAUGCAAACAGACAAGGUUGUGCACGAGCACUGAGGCUGAGAACAAUUUGUAUUUAUCAAUGGUUCUCUCCUACCGGUGUGGUUACGACACUCGUAGGAUUGUUUGAUAAAUCACACUUUUUCUAUUUAAUACGACCAUUCUAAAUUCCGUUCGUAGGUAGUAUUUUAGAAUAGUUUCUAACAAAUGUUGAUAAAUGAGGCCCCUAAUUUGUAAGAUCUCUUCCAUCUAGUUAGUGUAGAUGCCCUUUAACUAUGGACCAGAGUUGCAACCUAUUGAAAAAGUCCAGAAAUGACUGUCAGAAAUGGAGUAUGUUUGUUCACAUCCAUUAUUUAUAGAAUAUAUAGGUUGCCCCACUGGUUGAACUUCUGACUCAAGGUACUGAAUGCUCACAUAACACCAAUGUUACCAUUCAUCUGGCAUCAGAGUCAAUACACACAUCUAGCUAUCUACGGUAUAUGUGCAGUAUUUUUUCAUCUACAGGAACGUUUUUUGGUACAUUCUGCUAUUCUGCACUCAUCCCAACCCCCCAAACUGUGUCUGAAAUCAUAGCGGCAGACAGCCAUAAAUAACAGUGUCCAUACCAAAUCAACACUGUACCCACAGCAUGCCAUUUCUAUUCAGCUUUCAUUUUAUAACUCCCUCUUUCAGGGUGAAUUUAUCAGCUGCAGAAGACUGGAAUUGGCUAUUUAAUCCAUUUGAGGAUACGGGUAGGGGGGGACGGGUGCGGGUAG